GACGAACGCUGGCGGCGUGCUUAACACAUGCAAGUCGAGCGGAGCGGCGGACGGGUGAGUAACUCGUGAGUAACUGCCCCCCUCCCUGUGAUAACAGUUGGAUACGGCUGCUAAUACCGGAUAGUGGGGGAUGACUCGCGUCCGAUCAGCUUGUUGGGGGGGUAGUGGCCUACCAAGGCGACGACGGGUAGCCGGCCUGAGAGGGCGACCGGCCACAUUGGGCUGAGAUACGGCCCAAACUCCUACGGGAGGCAGCAGUGGGGAAUAUUGCGCAAUGGGGGAACCCCUAAUGCAGCAACCCGCGGGCGGGAUGUCGGCCUUCGGGUUGUAAACCGCGUUCAGCCAUGACGCGGUAGUGGCAGAAGAAGCACCGGCUAACUACGUGCCAGCAGCCGCGGUAAUUC
rnacentral:rRNA from 1 species